rnacentral:rRNA from 1 species
GAGUUUGAUUCUGGCUCAGGAUGAACGCUAGCGAUAGGCUUAACACAUGCAAGUCGAGGGGCAUCGGGUAAGUAGUUUGCUACUUAUGCCGGCGACCGGCGCACGGGUGCGUAACGCGUAUGCAACCUACCUGUCAGACUGGGAUAACCCGGUGAAAGCCGGACUAAUACUGGAUAUACUUAUUCUUCUGCAUGGGGGGAUAAGGAAAGAUUUAUUACUGACAGAUGGGCAUGCGUUCCAUUAGCUAGUUGGUGAGGUAACGGCUCACCAAGGCGACGAUGGAUAGGGGAACUGAGAGGUUUAUCCCCCACACUGGUACUGAGACACGGACCAGACUCCUACGGGAGGCAGCAGUGAGGAAUAUUGGUCAAUGGGCGAGAGCCUGAACCAGCCAAGUCGCGUGAGGGCAGACGGUCCUAAGGAUUGUAAACCUCUUUUUCAGGGGAGUAAAAUUAGAUACGCGUAUUAAUGCAA